GACGAACGCUGGCGGCGUGCCUAAUACAUGCAAGUAGAACGCAGUUGCGAACGGGUGAGUAACGCGUAGGUAACUGCCUGGUAGCGGGGGAUAACUAUUGGAAACGAUAGCUAAUACCGCAUACUACCAGAUGGACCUGCGUUGUAUUAGCUAGUUGGUGAGGUAACGGCUCACCAAGGCCACGAUACAUAGCCGACCUGAGGGGGAGAACCGGCAAAACGGGACCGGGACACGGGCCAGAAUCCCUAGGGAGGGAGCAGUAGGGAAACAUUGGCAAUGGGGGGAAACCCGACCGCGCAAAUGCGCGUGAGUUAAGAAGGGCUUCGGAUUUUAAAGCUCCGUUGUUAAGGAAGCGUUACUUACCCAGAAAGCGACGGCUAACUACGUGCCAGCCGCCGCGGUAAUUC
rnacentral:rRNA from 1 species